CCGUGCCAUUGUGAGGUAGCAGCUGUGCACCUCCUGACUAGGCCCCACGUCAUGUCACAGUCAUUGUGGUUUCACAGAACUGAGAGGUGCAGUAGCACCUCACAGCUCUUGUGUGGUUUCCCUCUCACAUGGGACACAGGACAGAGCCAGCAUGCGGCAAGAGGGGAGUCUGGACAAAGGCUGGUCAUAAAUUACCAAGUGUGUGGAGACACUGCGCUGAAUCACCUCACUUGGUAUGUUCCAGAGAGCUUAUUGUCAUCAUUUCGCUCUAUGGAUUCCAUCUCGCCUGGUUCCCUCUGAACAGAAGCUGUCAUGGCCUCGUUUCUGAGACAAGGUGGCAAAGGGACCCAUGGAUCCAUGCCCUGGGAAGAGAAGAUCUGCCUGCCUUUCCUGGAGGAGACACUCAUGAGCUCUGAACUGGCUUGAAUUUUGAUGAGAACUUACCAUCUUUUGAAGCAUUUUCACCAGACAAGUCCCACAGUAAGAGCAGAGCCA
ensembl:lncRNA